rnacentral:rRNA from 1 species
AUUGAACGCUGGCGGCAGGCCUAACACAUGCAAGUCGAGCGGAGCGGCGGACGGGUGAGUAAUGCCUAUGAAUCUGCCUGGUAGUGGUGGAGAACGUUCGGAAACGGGCGCUAAUACCGCAUCCUAUCAGAUGAGCCUAGGUCGGAUUAGCUAGUUGGUGGGGUAAAGGCCUACCAAGGCGACGAUCCGUAACUGGUCUGAGAGGAUGAUCAGUCACACUGGAACUGAGACACGGUCCAGACUCCUACGGGAGGCAGCAGUGGGGAAUAUUGGACAAUGGGCGAAAGCCUGAUGCAGCCAUGCCGCGUGUGUGAAGAAGGUCUUCGGGUUGUAAAGCACUUUAAGUUGGGAGGCGUUACCAGCAGAAGAAGCACCGGCUAACUCCGUGCCAGCAGCCGCGGUAAUUC